rnacentral:rRNA from 1 species
UACGUAGGGUGCAAGCGUUAAUCGGAAUUACUGGGCGUAAAGCGUGCGCAGGCGGUUUUGUAAGUCUGUCGUGAAAGCCCCGGGCUCAACCUGGGAAUUGCGAUGGAGACUGCAAGGCUUGAAUCUGGCAGAGGGGGGUAGAAUUCCACGUGUAGCAGUGAAAUGCGUAGAGAUGUGGAGGAACACCGAUGGCGAAGGCAGCCCCCUGGGUCAAGAUUGACGCUCAUGCACGAAAGCGUGGGGAGCAAUCAGG